GGGAUAGCUCAGUUGAUAGAGCUGUGAGACUCUUAAUCUCAGGGUCGUGGGUUUGAGCCCCACUUUGGGUG